rnacentral:rRNA from 1 species
GUGAACGCUGGCGGCAGGCCUAAUACAUGCAAGUCGAACGGCAGCACAGUGGAGCUUGCUCCAUGGGUGGCGAGUGGCGGACGGGUGAGGAAUACAUGGGAAUCUGCCCAGUCGUGGGGGAUAACGUAGGGAAACUUACGCUAAUACCGCAUGCGCCCUUCGGGGGAAAGCCGGGGACCUUCGGGCCUGGCGCGAUUGGAUGAGCCCAUGUUCGAUUAGCUAGUUGGCGGGGUAAAGGCCCACCAAGGCGACGAUCGAUAGCUGGUCUGAGAGGAUGAUCAGCCACACUGGGACGGAGACACGGCCCAGACUCCUACGGGAGGUAGCAGUAGGGAAUAUUGGACAAUGGGCGCAAGCCUGAUCCAGCCAUGCCGCGUGAGUGAAGAAGGCCCUCGGGUUGUAAAGCUCUUUUGUCCGGGAAGAAAAGCAUCGGGCUAAUACCUCGGUGUUCUGACGGUACCGGAAGAAUAAGCACCGGCUAACUUCGUG